rnacentral:lncRNA from 1 species
UUAAUAUCUCUUUGUAGAUGUUUUGUUGUAUGUGCCUUUCUUCCGUUUUGGUUGCUCUGUCAUAAUCAAAAUCUUAGUUUUUGAUAUUGAUACUCCCCUUGAUGGUGCAAAGUACAAUUUUUCAUGUGAAAAAAUAUGUUGUGGCAAGUACAAUUCAACAGUUGAUAUUUUUGUUCUUGUAUUUUGUUUGUCAUCAUUGAAAAACACAGUCGGACUAAAAAUUAUUUUCUAAUGAAUUUGAAUGAAUAACCUUCAUUUUCGAGAGGUGAUAGCUGAAUCCAUGAAAUAAAUACAUGCUUAAAAGCAUUUUGGCCCAUCAUUAUUUCUGCAUGUAUGACGUUGUUGUCAAGAUCUCGGCAUUUGACAUUACAACAUUUGUUUAUGUCAUCAAUAACCUAGUCAUACUCUUUCUUUCUCUAUAAAAGAAGAGUAUUUAGCUCAUUUGUAGAUACAUACCAAUACAACGAGUAAAAACAAUAUAGAGAUAACAGUGUGGUAUUUUAUAGAUUGUGAUAAAAAAUAAUAUGUGAAGAAAAAUUAGAUAAAGCAAUAUUUUAAUAAGAUGAAAAUCAAG